GAAAUUGGAUAGCAACAUGACUAAUCCCAGCCAAUGACGGCAAGAGGCCACUGUACAAUCCGCGGAUCCCUUCUUCAUGUGUUAUUCGUAUUAAAGCAGACAAUAUACCUUUAUAAGGAACUACACCCUCCCUCAUUCCCUGUGUCAUGAGCCGGGUCUUAACAACCCACAAUGGAUUUGUUGUAAUGGAUGUUGCAGCCCCCGCCCCCGCAGCUGCAAGCAUGUUUGCACCAAUCGUAAGCUGCCCACUGCUAUCCACAUGUGAAUGCAACGAAUCCUUGAGAUGUUCAUAAACUGUGAA
rnacentral:misc_RNA from 1 species